rnacentral:rRNA from 1 species
GACGAACGCUGGCGGCGUGCCUAAUACAUGCAAGUCGAGCGGAUGACGGAGGAGCUUGCUCCUCUAGAUUCAGCGGCGGACGGGUGAGUAACACGUGGGCAACCUGCCCUGUAGAUUGGGAUAACUCCGGGAAACCGGGGCUAAUACCGAAUAAUCCUUCGGACCUCAUGGUCCGAUGUUGAAAGACGGUUUCGGCUGUCACUACAGGAUGGGCCCGCGGCGCAUUAGCUAGUUGGUGAGGUAACGGCUCACCAAGGCCACGAUGCGUAGCCGACCUGAGAGGGUGAUCGGCCACACUGGGACUGAGACACGGCCCAGACUCCUACGGGAGGCAGCAGUAGGGAAUCUUCCACAAUGGACGAAAGUCUGAUGGAGCAACGCCGCGUGAGUGAAGAAGGUUCUCGGAUCGUAAAACUCUGUUGUGAGGGAAGAACAAGUACCGGAGUAACUGCCGGUGCCUUGACGGUACCUCAUUAGAAAGCCACGGCUAACUACGUGCCAGCCGCCGCAGUAACAC